rfam:Dipodomys ordii contig_25796, whole genome shotgun sequence.
GGUGGCUCAGUGGUAGAGUGCUUGCCUUGCAUGCAUGAGGCCCUGGGUUCGAUUCCUCAGUACCG